rnacentral:rRNA from 1 species
CCUACGGGUGGCAGCAGUAGGGAAUAUUGCUCAAUGGGGGAAACCCUGUAGCAGCAACGCCGCGUGGAGGAUGAAGGUUUUCGGAUUGUAAACUCCUUUUGUUAGAGAAGAUAAUGACGUUAUCUAACGAAUAAGCACCGGCUAACUCCGUGCCAGCAGCCGCGGUAAUACGGAGGGUGCAAGCGUUACUCGGAAUCACUGGGCGUAAAGAGCGCGUAGGCGGGAUAGCAAGUCAGAUGUGAAAUCCUAUGGCUUAACCAUAGAACUGCAUUUGAAACUGUUAUUCUAGAGUAUGGGAGAGGUAGGUGGAAUUCUUGGUGUAGGGGUAAAAUGCGUAGAGAUCAAGAGGAAUACUCAUUGCGAAGGCGACCUGCUAGAACAUAACUGACGCUGAUGCGCGAAAGCGUGGGGAGCAAACAGGAUUAGAGACCCCGGUAGUC